rnacentral:tRNA from 1 species
GUUCGCGUAGAUUAUGUUUUAAGUUGUGAUGCUGUUAACGUUAUGAAGGCUUGUUUGUGAUAGUGUAG